rnacentral:tRNA from 1 species
GGGAAGGUGGCUCAGCGGUAGAGUGCUUGCUUGGCAUGCAUGAAGCCCGAGGUUCCAUUCCUCAGCACCUCA